rnacentral:tRNA from 1 species
GAGGGUACAGCUCAGUGGUAGAGUGCAUGACUAGCACGCAUGAGGUCCUGGGUUCCAUCCCCAGUACCUCCA